GAUGAACGCUGGCGGCGUGCCUAAUACAUGCAAGUCGAGCGAAUGGAUUAAGAGCUUGCUCUUAUGAAGUUAGCGGCGGACGGGUGAGUAACACGUGGGUAACCUGCCCAUAAGACUGGGAUAACUCCGGGGAACCGGGGCUAAUACCGGAUAACAUUUUGAACCGCAUGGUUCGAAAUUGAAAGGCGGCUUCGGCUGUCACUUAUGGAUGGACCCGCGUCGCAUUAGCUAGUUGGUGAGGUAACGGCUCACCAAGGCAACGAUGCGUAGCCGGCCUGAGAGGGUGAUCGGCCACACGGGGACUGAGACACGGCCCAGACUCCUACGGGAGGCAGCAGUAGGGAAUCUUCCGCAAUGGACGAAAGUCUGACGGAGCAACGCCGCGUGAGUGAUGAAGGCUUUCGGGUCGUAAAACUCUGUUGUUAGGGAAGAACAAGUGCUAGUUGAAUAAGCUGGCACCUUGACGGUACCUAACCAGAAAGCCACGGCUAACUACGUGCCAGCCGCCGCAGUAA
rnacentral:rRNA from 1 species